rnacentral:rRNA from 1 species
UACGGAGAGUGCAAGCGUUAAUCGGAAUUACUGGGCGUAAAGCGUGCGUAGGCGGUUCGUUAAGUCUGUUGUGAAAGCCCCGGGCUCAACCUGGGAAUGGCAGUGGAUACUGGCGAGCUAGAGUGUGUCAGAGGAUGGUGGAAUUCCCGGUGUAGCGGUGAAAUGCGUAGAGAUCGGGAGGAACAUCAGUAGCGAAGGCGGCCAUCUGGGACAACACUGACGCUGAGGCACGAAAGCGUGGGGAGCAAA